rnacentral:lncRNA from 10 species
GGAGAACAAAAGUGGCGGUGGACGGGGACGCACGGUCGCCGGCUCCGGGGACUGCUCGGGCCGGGCGCUCGGAGAGGACGACUGCGGAGUCAUCCUCUCCGUCCCCGGGCCAACCCGGGGAACGCGGCGCCCCCACCCCCUGCGCCGUGUAACGCCGGGAUCAGGACACUUUCCGCUGGGAGGCUGCGAGUCCGUGUUUCCAUUUCUCCUCACCCUGGUCCUCGGCUCCCUCCUUUCCCCCCUCCUCCGCCUCCCUCUGAUAUUUUAUUUAAAUUCUUCCGUCCCCUCCUGUCCAUACCAGCGCCGCGACUUGGGGGAUUAAAUUAGUCGCGUCGCCACAUUCCCCCGCCGCCUGAUGGCCUCCGUGUUGUUUAAACAGCAAGAAAAUUGAUCUCUUGGCUCUUCCUUUAAUGAUUUUUUUUUACACGAUUAAACUCUCAACAGAUGUCACUGGACAUUUUAAGACUCUUGUUAAGAGUCGUAAACAGGCCCGGUCAAUGCGACCUAAAACAAUUAUAAUUACAGCUGCGGAGGUCGCGUUUCAGAACCCCCAGCCGCGCAGCCAGGAGGUUAAUGUCCCAGAGUCACUGUCACCACCUCGGGGCUGCCAUCUUCAUUCAGGUCGGAGUGCCGGGUGCCCUGUUGGCAGCAAACUGGCACGUUUGAAACACGCUGGGGAGAAAGGGUGCAAUCAUAUGUCAAAGUAAACGUUUAAGCUGUUAAGUCGUUUUAACUUCAGAUUCCUCUCCGGCAGCACAAAAAAUACCCAAGCAAGCACCAUCAGCAAAUGUCCCUUUCAACAUAUGCCAACAGGUCACACAUUGCUUUUGUUGGCAGAAGUUAUUGGAAUUCCCCCUUUUCUUUCUUUUCUUUUUUUUUUUUUUUUCAAGUGAGGACCCCAGUGUUGUUCUGCUCUCUGUUAGGGAAUUUGUAAUAAAUUACGUGUUUGGGACCCCCAAACACAGAUGGCCCCUCAUCCCACAACCCAGCACCUCGCCUUCAGAGCACGACAGAGUGAGACUUAGGAUAUGAGUAACUAUGCAAAAAGCAGAGGGGCAUGUAGAUGACCCUUACUUUAACCCAAAUUAGUUAACAGAAACUUGCAAACAGCGCUUUAAGACUCCAUAGGAGGCCGGCCGGGGGCGGUGGCUCACACCUGUAAUCCCAGUACUUUGGGAGGCCGAAGUGGGCAGAUCACGAGGUCAGGAGUUCGAGACCAGCCUGCCCAACAUGGUCUCGACUAAAAAUACAAAAAAUUAGGCAUGGUGGCGCAAGCCUGUAAUCCCAGCUACUCGGGAGGCUGAGGCAGGAGAGUUGCUUCAACCCAGGAGGCAGAGGUUGCAGUGAGCCGAGAUUGCACCACAGCACUCCAGUCUGGGCAACAGAGCAAGACUCUGUCUCAGAAAAAACAAACAAACAAACAGAAAAGACUCAACAGGAGGAGCCACUACCCUCCGGCCAGCAUCUGCCUGAAUCUGUGUGGGCCGAAGAUGACCUGAAUAACCUCUGUUGAUUUAAUUACGUAGGUUAAAUAUGUGGGUUACGGUAAGGAUCAUAUACAUGCCCCUCUGUUUUUUGCAUAGUUACUUACUGUGUGAGUCUCAUUCUGUCGUGCAGGCUAAUGUGCAGUGGUGAAAUCAUAGCUCACCACUGCCUCCACCUCACCUGCUCAAGCAAUCCUCCCACCUCAGCCUCCCAAGUAGCUGGGACCACAGUCACACCAUAAGCCAACACUGGUUAAUGUGGAUGCAAAACUAGCCCGUGUUUGAAGUGGUCGUGAUUCCUUUGGUUUUGCCCCAAGCAGGGAGAAGCAAGGUUCCUCAAAUGCAAAACAAAGAGGCUGACUCAGGGUGCCCCAAUAGGUACCCACUCCUC